rnacentral:tRNA from 1 species
GCAGUCGUGGCCGAGUGGUUAAGGCGAUGGGCUAAUCCAUUGGGGUCUCCCCGCACAGGUUCGAAUCCUGUCGACUGCG